CGGSGUGCUAUAAUGCAGUCGAGCGAUGACGAGGAGCUUGCUCCUYUGAUUUAGCGGCGGACGGGUGAGUAACACGUGGGCAACCUGCCCUGKAGACUGGGAUAACUUCGGGAAACCGGAGCUAAUACCGGAUAAUCCAUUUCACUUCAUGGUGAAAUGUUGAAAGGSGCUUUCGCGUCACUACMGGAUGGGCCCGCGGUGCAUUAGCUAGUUGGUGGGGUAACGGCCUACCAAGGCGACGAUGCAUAGCCGACCUGAGAGGGUGAUCGGCCACAUUGGGACUGAGACACGGCCCAAACUCCUACGGGAGGCAGCAGUAGGGAAUCUUCCACAAUGGACGAAAGUCUGAUGGAGCAACGCCGCGUGAGUGAUGAAGGUUUUCGGAUCGUAAAACUCUGUUGUAAGGGAAGAACAAGUAYGUUAGGAAAUGAACGUACCUUGACGGUACCUUAUUAGAAAGCCACGGCUAACUACGUGCCAGCAGCCGCGGUAAUACGUAGGUGGCAAGCGUUGUCCGGAUUUAUUGGGCGUAAAGCGCGCGCAGGUGGUUUCUUAAGUCUGAUGUGAAAGCCCACGGCUCAACCGUGGAGGGUCAUUGGAAACUGGGAGACUUGAGUGCAGAAGAGGAAAGUGGAAUUCCAAGUGUAGCGGUGAAAUGCGUAGAGAUUUGGAGGAACACCAGUGGCGAAGSGACUUUCUGGUCUGUAACUGACGCUGAGGCGCGAAAGCAUGGGGAGCAAACAGGAUUAGAUACCCUGGUAGUCCAUGCCGUAAACGAUGAGUGCUAAGUGUUAGGGGGUUUCCGCCCCUUAGUGCUGCAGCUACGCAUUAAGCACUCCGCCUGGGGAGUACGACGCAAGUGAA
rnacentral:rRNA from 1 species